UUUAGAUUUUUUAGAUUAAAACAAAUUUUUGAUUUUAGAUUCAAUAUUUUCUCCAGGUGAUCUGGUUUUCCACAAAAACAAGGGUCAGCUUUAGAGAGCAAUUGAUGUAACCCACACACACACACACACACAUCAUCAACAAUCAUGGAUUGAACACAUACCCGCAACCACCCACAUCAGGGUGUCCAACCCAAGCUAUCAGGGCUUGUGUUGGACAACCCCUGGGUAUCUGGGAUAGCCCUUGAGUAUCAGGGACAGCUCAGAUACCCAGAGGCUGUCCAACCCCCUAUGUUUUCUGAUUCAGCGCUGGUGAUUUGGUGGUGUCUGGGUGUGUUUGAUGUGCUUUUUCCUUUGCAUGGUGUCCACCUAGCAAAUGAUGCGCUGGGUUUACUUGAUUUCUUUUUGUUUGUUUUUGUUUUUUGUUUUGAGGGUGUUGCCUGGGUUUUGUUUGUUGUCCUGUGUUUGUGUUUUUUUGCUUCGUCUAUGUACAGGUUAUGGUGCUGUGGAUCUGGAGCUGGCUGUUUCUUCCUUGCCGUCCGUCUCUCCACACCUCCUGGCCUCCACAGUGUGCUGCUCUGCUGCUGGAUUUCUUCCCAUCCUUAUCAUGCACAGACCCAGGCAUUGUGUUUGUGUCUCUUUUCUAUCAUCUUUUUCUUCGGCCAGUCGAGGCAGACGGCUGCCCGUCCUGAGUCCGGUUCUGCUGGAGGUUUCUCUCAGCUCGUAAAAAUCUACCAUGCCCAGCCGAGGAAGGAGCACUGUCGCCAUGUGCUUGCUCAGGAUGGGGGAUGUCAUCAAAUUGGUUUUAUGACUAAUUUGAUGGGGUUCGCCGAGGACCCCUCUGGAGAAUCGUCACCUUAACGUGGUGGAGGGAUUUGAGUACUCCAGUGAUCCUGAUGGCUAUUAUUUUUUUAUUUUAUCUUAUUUUGUUUUAAUUUUUGCCAUUAGAGACCCAAUGGUUUCUAAAGGCAAAGAUGGCUUCAGGGGAGGGGUCAACCAAGAACGAUUCAAACACUGUUUUCCCAAACGAAUAAGAAGUUUUCAGUAGAUCUUUUGUCUAAUUUUUCAGAAGGUUAUUGCCAUUUCUUCUUUUCGUCUUCACAUUGAAAGUAAGAAAACAAAGUUAUUUGUUGAGCUCAAAGUCUUAGUUAAUUUAGAGAUAUAGGAGUUAUUUUCUAAGUGUUUAUGUAAAAGGUAGAAUGAAAGAGGGAGGGAGAAGAAACUCAACAUCAGUGAACGGUCCUUCUCGUGCAUCUGUGCUGUCAGAGACUCUCUUGCAGAGACAAAGGAGGUUAAGACUUAGGAGGCCAGACUCUCUCACCCAUCUACUCCCUCAGCUCUGACAGCUCUCCCACCGAGGCCCCCGGACACAUGGACAGCAAUUCUCCCAGCAUACAGAGCUGCUGGUCUCCACCGGAGAUCUGGAGCUGCAACUGAUGCCUCACAGGGCAGAGCCCGAAGUUGUACCUGUUCUGGUCAUCAGCAGGAGGAUAAGAGGAGCUGACAUUCUUCACUGCGUCACUGAACUAAAUGUGUGAGGUUUAAACAGACUAAACUUUCUUUGAAUUGAACAUGUUAGAAUCCUGUGCUCCGGAUCUGAUAUGCCUGUAAGAUUAGAUAUUUUAGAAGAUAGUUUCUUCAGUUUGUAUUGCUCAAUUGCAAUAGCUGAAUUCGGUAAUAUUGUCAAUAUUGCUAUAACAUCUCUCUCUGUUCAAAUAUAGUUAAAAAACAAAACACACAACCUCCCACAUUGUUGCUUUUUUCCUCUUGAUGAAAAAAAAAACCAUAAAAACAAAUUCAAAAUGAAAUCAUUACAUAACAACUUAAGAUGAGCUUAAGAACAUUUUAUUUGUUUGGAGCUUCCCAAGUCCUGAUUGCUGUUGUAAAAGAUGACAAAAACGAACCACAGAUAUGCCAGAGACAACAACAAGGACUAUUAAGCUUUUUGGGUUUUUUUCCCCUGGUUGGUGUAACCUUGAUGGUUAGAAUACAGAUAAAGUUAAAAGGUCGUCUUCAGUGUUAAUCCUCCACCCCGUGAUGCAUUCUUCCACACUCUUACAGGGCAUCCGUUUGUUGGCAAAGAACCAAAAUAAAGUCACAUACACACACAGGAGUUGUUUCUGUUUCAGUGAUCUGGGCAGACACCCAAUCUGCGGACAGCAGAGCCUAUGUCUCAAGCUGGGGAUGUGCUGUUUUCUGUGUGUGCGGCGUGUUGUUGCCAUGUCGGGGCUUGUGUCCUAUUAUCACCCCUCUCCCACUUCCUUCUCUCCUAAGCACAGACACACACAAACACACACACACACACACACCGCCUCUCAAAGACUCGGCCAACAGCCAAGACUGCAGCACCGGGAGGCUAAACUAACUCUGAUUUGUGAGGUGACAAAAAGGAGGGAAAGAGAUCAACUGUUCAUGUUGUGUGUUGCAAAGAAAAGAACCAGCAUUUAAGUAAACGCCUAAAUGUUGAUCAAAGAACUCUCUCAGAGCAUUUAACUUCCAAAAAAUUAUUUUUAUUCUGAAGGACCAAUAAAAUUAUGGCAAAUAUUUACAAAUAGUUACUUCUCAGUUUCACAUUACUGAUACAUAAAUGGAAUAAUUCACCAACAAACAGUCACUCUGGUGGACAGAUGGACAGGUACACAGACUGAGUAUGAAGAGAUGCAUCAAGCAAACUGUAAUUCAAAAUUUCACAGUAAAAAUCAAAGCCAGGAAAUUAAAUAACCAUAAUAUAACCAUAAAAAUAGAAAACAUAAGCCUUUUAACAAAGUCACCAUUUAUUUCCGGCUUUUGGGAUAAAACCAAUUACCAGUCGGGGGCAAAAAGUAAAACGAGGGUUGUUGAAGAGAAAUCAAGUGAUAUGAUAUCUUUGGCAAAGUCGCACUGCAGUAAAAUACAUUCAAAUAUUAAGACAACACACGACACACAGAGAGAAAAAACACCAAGAUUUGUUUGCAACUACUAGAAAAUUGAAUAAAAAACAUACACAUUUUCAUAAAGAAGCAUUUCACUUUUUUUUUCAAACCAUCCCCUCCAGAAUAUUCAAAGGCAAUACUUCAUUUUAUGUAUCUGUAAGUCUUUUCUGCCCUUUUAUAUGUUUUUGUACAAGAAUCGAAUAUUUAAAACAGGCAUCACAGGCUUUGGUGAAUGUUAACGGAUAUGUUUUCUUUUAGUUGUGUUUGUGUUUUGAAGAAAGGAAAAUAUUGAAACCAAAUUUAUUCCUCGUAUGUCUUUGCAUCACAAUAUAUUUCUGUAUUCCUGUGUUUUUUGAUCAUAUUUUUAUUUUUUUUUAUUUUUAGCCAAAAACACGGAUAGAAAUAUCUCCUCAACAGCCUAAAUAGGAAGCCAUGGACACACACACACACACACACACACACACACACACAUACGCACGCAAGCAUACACACAAAAUCAACAUAAUAUUAAAACAACUCCAGAUUGUUACACAAAAGGCCACAGUAAGGUGAGAACUCAUGUAUCUAUUUCUUUUUUUGAUUGAAACAGCUGCUUAAGUCAGGUUUUUGUAGGCUGAUUCGUGCGCAUUAGUUCUCUUCCACAGUUGAAUAAUAUAAAGAUGUAGGGAACUCUGUAACGCUUCAGCGUGAGAUCUGUCUGAAGCCUAGUUAUAUCGGCAAGCAUGGAACAGAUUGUGCCACUAAUUGCUGUCAAGAUGUGAUGCUGAAUUCCCCUCUGGUUUGGGAUUCAUAUUGAGAUACAGUCGAGCAGUGCACACUUGGUGGAAAAUCAUAAUUUAAAAAAAAA